AGUCGAGCGGUAGCACAGAGAGCUUGCUCUCGGGUGACGAGCGGCGGACGGGUGAGUAAUGUCUGGGAAACUGCCUGAUGGAGGGGGAUAACUACUGGAAACGGUAGCUAAUACCGCAUAACGUCGCAAGACCAAAGUGGGGGACCUUCGGGCCUCAUGCCAUCAGAUGUGCCCAGAUGGGAUUAGCUAGUAGGUGGGGUAACGGCUCACCUAGGCGACGAUCCCUAGCUGGUCUGAGAGGAUGACCAGCCACACUGGAACUGAGACACGGUCCAGACUCCUACGGGAGGCAGCAGUGGGGAAUAUUGCACAAUGGGCGCAAGCCUGAUGCAGCCAUGCCGCGUGUGUGAAGAAGGCCUUCGGGUUGUAAAGCACUUUCAGCGGGGAGGAAGGCGAUAAGGUUAAUAACCUUGUCGAUUGACGUUACCCGCAGAAGAAGCACCGGCUAACUCCGUGCCAGCAGCCGCGGUAAUACGGAGGGUGCAAGCGUUAAUCGGAAUUACUGGGCGUAAAGCGCACGCAGGCGGUCUGUCAAGUCGGAUGUGAAAUCCCCGGGCUCAACCUGGGAACUGCAUUCGAAACUGGCAGGCUAGAGUCUUGUAGAGGGGGGUAGAAUUCCAGGUGUAGCGGUGAAAUGCGUAGAGAUCUGGAGGAAUACCGGUGGCGAAGGCGGCCCCCUGGACAAAGACUGACGCUCAGGUGCGAAAGCGUGGGGAGCAAACAGGAUUAGAUACCCUGGUAGUCCACGCCGUAAACGAUGUCGAUUUGGAGGUUGUGCCCUUGAGGCGUGGCUUCCGGAGCUAACGCGUUAAAUCGACCGCCUGGGGAGUACGGCCGCAAGGUUAAAACUCAAAUGAAUUGACGGGGGCCCGCACAAGCGGUGGAGCAUGUGGUUUAAUUCGAUGCAACGCGAAGAACCUUACCUG
rnacentral:rRNA from 1 species